GGGCGCAUAGCUCAGAUUGGUGAGAGCGCUACACUCACAUUGUAGAGGUCGAAGGUUCGAGUCCUUCUGCGCCCA
rnacentral:tRNA from 1 species